AUUGAACGCUGGCGGCAUGCCUUACACAUGCAAGUCGAACGGCAGCACGGAGCUUGCUCUGGUGGCGAGUGGCGAACGGGUGAGUAAUAUAUCGGAACGUACCCUGGAGUGGGGGAUAACGUAGCGAAAGUUACGCUAAUACCGCAUACGAUCUAAGGAUGAAAGUGGGGGACUCGCAAGAGCCUCAUGCUCGUGGAGCGGCCGAUAUCUGAUUAGCUAGUUGGUAGGGUAAAAGCCUACCAAGGCAUCGAUCGGUAGCUGGUCUGAGAGGACGACCAGCCACACUGGAACUGAGACACGGUCCAGACUCCUACGGGAGGCAGCAGUGGGGAAUUUUGGACAAUGGGCGCAAGCCUGAUCCAGCAAUGCCGCGUGAGUGAAGAAGGCCUUCGGGUUGUAAAGCUCUUUUGUCAGGGAAGAAACGGUGAGAGCUAAUAUCUUUUGCUAAUGACGGUACCUGAAGAAUAAGCACCGGCUAACUACGUGCCAGCAGCCGCGGUAAUACGUAGGGUGCAAGCGUUAAUCGGAAUUACUGGGCGUAAAGCGUGCGCAGGCGGUUUUGUAAGUCUGAUGUGAAAUCCCCGGGCUCAACCUGGGAAUUGCAUUGGAGACUGCGAGGCUAGAAUCUGGCAGAGGGGGGUAGAAUUCCACGUGUAGCAGUGAAAUGCGUAGAUAUGUGGAGGAACACCGAUGGCGAAGGCAGCCCCCUGGGUCAAGAUUGACGCUCAUGCACGAAAGCGUGGGGAGCAAACAGGAUUAGAUACCCUGGUAGUCCACGCCCUAAACGAUGUCUACUAGUUGUCGGGUCUUAAUUGACUUGGUAACGCAGCUAACGCGUGAAGUAGACCGCCUGGGGAGUACGGUCGCAAGAUUAAAACUCAAAGGAAUUGACGGGGACCCGCACAAGCGGUGGAUGAUGUGGAUUAAUUCGAUGCAACGCGAAAAACCUUACCUACCCUUGACAUGGAUGGAAUCCCGAAGAGAUUUGGGAGUGCUCGAAAGAGAACCAUUACACAGGUGCUGCAUGGCUGUCGUCAGCUCGUGUCGUGAGAUGUUGGGUUAAGUCCCGCAACGAGCGCAACCCUUGUCAUUAGUUGCUACGAAAGGGCACUCUAAUGAGACUGCCGGUGACAAACCGGAGGAAGGUGGGGAUGACGUCAAGUCCUCAUGGCCCUUAUGGGUAGGGCUUCACACGUCAUACAAUGGUACAUACAGAGCGCCGCCAACCCGCGAGGGGGAGCUAAUCGCAGAAAGUGUAUCGUAGUCCGGAUUGUAGUCUGCAACUCGACUGCAUGAAGUUGGAAUCGCUAGUAAUCGCGGAUCAGCAUGUCGCGGUGAAUACGUUCCCGGGUCU
rnacentral:rRNA from 1 species